GCCCUUAUAGUUAAAUGGUAUAACGUGUCCAUGGUAAGGAUAAGUUUCAAGUUCGAUUCUUGGUGGGGGCACCA
rnacentral:tRNA from 1 species